AAAAUGCUACAUAAACAUAAAAAUAAAAUGCUAAAAGAAAAUAAAAUGUUAAAAGAAAAAAGCUAAAAGAAAUAAAAUGCUCAAUACGGGUAUCGAACCCACUACACUAAAGACCAUAAAAAUCACCCCUCUCCACCAGACCACUCAUGACUAAUUAUUAUUUUGCUGCUAGUUUGGAUAAAUAAACUAAGAUAUAUUUAAAAUUAGAAUUAAAAUAAAAACUAAUAAAAAAGAAAUCUGUUGGACUACCAUCAUUAAACCCAGCCGCUUGGCUGUUGGGUUUUAGAGGCUGGUGAGUUGGGAAUAGUAAAAAAAAUGGAAUCAUUGUUAAACACCAACGUUAAUGUCUACUGGAAACAACCAAAGGUCACUUAAAUGGAGUUA
rnacentral:lncRNA from 1 species